rnacentral:rRNA from 1 species
AGAGUUUGAUCCUGGCUCAGGAUGAACGCUGGCGGCGUGCCUAACACAUGCAAGUCGAACGGAGUUACGAUGAAACCUAGUGAUUCGUAACUUAGUGGCGGACGGGUGAGUAACGCGUGGAUAACCUGCCUUGCACUGGGGAUAACACUUAGAAAUAGGUGCUAAUACCGCAUAAGCGCACGGAGCCGCAUGGCUCAGUGUGAAAAACUCCGGUGGUGUAAGAUGGAUCCGCGUCUGAUUAGCUGGUUGGCGGGGUAGAAGCCCACCAAGGCGACGAUCAGUAGCCGGCCUGAGAGGGUGAACGGCCACAUUGGGACUGAGACACGGCCCAAACUCCUACGGGAGGCAGCAGUGGGGAAUAUUGCACAAUGGGGGAAACCCUGAUGCAGCAACGCCGCGUGAGUGAAGAAGUCAUUCGUGAUGUAAAGCUCUAUCAGCAGGGAAGAAAAUGACGGUACCCGAGUAAGAAGCCCCGGCUAACUACGUG